rnacentral:lncRNA from 1 species
AAAGAGGCAGUCCACGGUUUUAAGGCAUUUAUUGUCGUGUCAGAAAGUGGAUGUGUAAAACCUUACCCCACUUCUCAGGGUGGGCCUGAGAUUAGAUACCUUUGCAGGGAGGAGUGUCUGGGAAGGAAAGCUUAUUGGCUAUGUAGGUACCUCAUUAAAAUGGAGAUCUGUCUUGAGCCUAUGUGACCUCAGGUCACAUGUGGAGGGGUUGGGGCGUUGCCCUUAUGUGAUUGAUGGCAACCGAUAUAUGGGGGACUGCAGCUAGUGACAGGGGCCUGGUACCCAGGAAAAGGAAAAGCUCCUAUUGUCCUUUCAGGGUCUCCUGGGCUUUUAGCCUUAGCUCAUCUGGGGACUAUGCUACCUUUCAUGGACGGACACACACACACACACACACACACC